rnacentral:rRNA from 1 species
AACGAACGCUGGCGGCAGGCUUAACACAUGCAAGUCGAGCGCCCCGCAAGGGGAGCGGCAGACGGGUGAGUAACGCGUGGGAAUCUACCGAGCCCUGCGGAAUAGCUCCGGGAAACUGGAAUUAAUACCGCAUACGCCCUACGGGGGAAAGAUUUAUCGGGGUUUGAUGAGCCCGCGUUGGAUUAGCUAGUUGGUGGGGUAAUGGCCUACCAAGGCGACGAUCCAUAGCUGGUCUGAGAGGAUGAUCAGCCACAUUGGGACUGAGACACGGCCCAAACUCCUACGGGAGGCAGCAGUGGGGAAUAUUGGACAAUGGGGGCAACCCUGAUCCAGCCAUGCCGCGUGAGUGAUGAAGGCCUUAGGGUUGUAAAGCUCUUUCACCGGUGAAGAUAAUGACGGUAACCGGAGAAGAAGCCCCGGCUAACUUCGUGCCAGCCGCCGCCGUAAUAC